UAUUAAUAUCAACAACAAAAGUCAAAAGUUCAAGAAAAAAAACUUUCAACAACAAUAGAACCUCAUAAAACCUCACUUUUGCAGCCAUAUUUCAAUCAUCAAUAAUUUUUCACCCUAGAUUACAACUAUGUUCAUGAUUUCCAAAAAGGGCAAUAUUGUCGAUAACCAUCACCAUUGAAAUCCAGACAACUCCAGGGAAACAUUGUACAUAGCAAUGCAUUUUGUAAUGAAAUCUUUGAAUUCAUUUUAAUGUGAGUUUACCUAAUCUAUUACAAACUUCACAGCAACAGUUGCAACUAUGACUCCAUGUUGAACCUAAUAAUAGCAACAAAUAUUCAAACAACCCCUACAAGAAAAAAACUUUCAAUUCUCUAUACCAAACAGCUCCUAACAGGAAAAAACUUUUAACAACAAUGAAACAUUCAACAGAAAUUGAAACAACAAUCUAAACAACAAAAAUCGAUACAAAUAUCCGAAAUAAUGGCAGAAAUCGAUGCAGAAAUCGGGAAUAAUGGAUGAAAUCGAUGCAUAAAUCGGGAAUAAUGGAUGAAAUAGAUGCAGAAAUCGAGACAACAACAAUCGUUCAUGGUAGAAAUCGGAACUAUUAUCAGAUGACGAGGGAGAAAUCGAUGUUUACCUGUUAAGACGAGGAGGAACUUUUAUCGGUGCUUGCAGGUUGCGAGAGAAAGGAGAUGAUGUGUUAGGACAAUGGUAACGGGAUGGAAACGUUUUUUGCUUUCCUCAGUCAGCUGGUAUUGAAUCCC
rnacentral:lncRNA from 1 species